rnacentral:rRNA from 1 species
UAUAACUGCAGUCGAGCGGACAGAAGGGAGCUUGCUCCCGGAUGUUAGCGGCGGACGGGUGAGUAACACGUGGGUAACCUGCCUGUAAGACUGGGAUAACUCCGGGAAACCGGAGCUAAUACCGGAUAGUUCCUUGAACCGCAUGGUUCAAGGAUGAAAGACGGUUUCGGCUGUCACUUACAGAUGGACCCGCGGCGCAUUAGCUAGUUGGUGGGGUAAUGGCUCACCAAGGCGACGAUGCGUAGCCGACCUGAGAGGGUGAUCGGCCACACUGGGACUGAGACACGGCCCAGACUCCUACGGGAGGCAGCAGUAGGGAAUCUUCCGCAAUGGACGAAAGUCUGACGGAGCAACGCCGCGUGAGUGAUGAAGGUUUUCGGAUCGUAAAGCUCUGUUGUUAGGGAAGAACAAGUGCGAGAGUAACUGCUCGCACCUUGACGGUACCUAACCAGAAAGCCACGGCUAACUACGUGCCAGCAGCCGCGGUAAUACGUAGGUGGCAAGCGUUGUCCGGAAUUAUUGGGCGUAAAGGGCUCGCAGGCGGUUUCUUAAGUCUGAUGUGAAAGCCCCCGGCUCAACCGGGGAGGGUCAUUGGAAACUGGGAAACUUGAGUGCAGAAGAGGAGAGUGGAAUUCCACGUGUAGCGGUGAAAUGCGUAGAGAUGUGGAGGAACACCAGUGGCGAAGGCGACUCUCUGGUCUGUAACUGACGCUGAGGAGCGAAAGCGUGGGGAGCGAACAGGAUUAGAUACCCUGGUAGUCCACGCCGUAAACGAUGAGUGCUAAGUGUUAGGGGGUUUCCGCCCCUUAGUGCUGCAGCUAACGCAUUAAGCACUCCGCCUGGGGAGUACGGUCGCAAGACUGAAACUCAAAGGAAUUGACGGGGGCCCGCACAAGCGGUGGAGCAUGUGGUUUAAUUCGAAGCAACGCGAAGAACCUUACCAGGUCUUGACUCCUCUGACACCCUAGAGAUAGGCUUUCCCUUCGGGAAAGAAUGACGGGGGUGCAUGGUUGUCCCCACUCCGGCCGGGAAAAGUUGGGGUAAAUCCCGCAAGAGAGGAACCCUUGAUCUAAUUGCCGCAUU